CCAAUAGCGCAUAUUAAAGUUGUUGCAGUUAAAAAGCUCGUAGUUGAAUUUCGGGGUCAGUAGGUUGGUCAUGCCACUGGUAUGUACUGAUCUUACUGAUUCCUCCUUCCUGAUGAACCGUAAUGCCAUUAAUUUGGUGUUGCGGGGAGACUGGACUGUUACUUUGAAAAAAUUAGAGUGUUUAAAGCAGGCUAACGCUUGAAUACAUUAGCAUGGAAUAAUGAAAUAGGACGUUCGAUCCUAUUUUGUUGGCUUCUAGGAUUGACGUAAUGAUUAAUAGGGAUAGUUGGGGGCAUUAGUAUUCAAUUGUCAGAGGUGAAAUUCUUGGAUUUAUUGAAGACUAACUACUGCGAAAGCAUUUGCCAAGGAUGUUUUCAUUAAUCAAGAACGAAGGUUAGGGGAUCGAAGACGAUCAGAUACCGUCGUAGUCUUAACCAUAAACUAUGCCGACUAGGGAUCGGAUGAUGUUAAUUUUUUAAUGACUCAUUCGGCGCCUUACG
rnacentral:rRNA from 1 species